rnacentral:rRNA from 1 species
CCUACGUGGGGCUGCAGUGGGGAAUAUUGGACAAUGGGGGCAACCCUGAUCCAGCCAUGCCGCGUGUGUGAAGAAGGCCCUCGGGUUGUAAAGCACUUUCAGUGAGGAAGAACGCCUGGUGGUUAAUACCCAUCAGGAAAGACAUCACUCACAGAAGAAGCACCGGCUAACUCCGUGCCAGCAGCCGCGGUAAUACGGAGGGUGCGAGCGUUAAUCGGAAUUACUGGGCGUAAAGCGCGCGUAGGUGGCUUGAUAAGCCGGUUGUGAAAGCCCCGGGCUCAACCUGGGAACGGCAUCCGGAACUGUCAAGCUAGAGUGCAGGAGAGGAAGGUAGAAUUCCCGGUGUAGCGGUGAAAUGCGUAGAGAUCGGGAGGAAUACCAGUGGCGAAGGCGGCCUUCUGGACUGACACUGACACUGAGGUGCGAAAGCGUGGGUAGCAAACAGGAUUAGAUACCCUAGUAGUC